GGGACAAGCCCUGGAAACGGGGUCUAAUACCGGAUAAUACUGCGGAUCGCAUGGUCUGCGGUUGAAAGCUCCGGCGGUGAAGGAUGAGCCCGCGGCCUAUCAGCUUGUUGGUGGGGUGAUGGCCUACCAAGGCGACGACGGGUAGCCGGCCUGAGAGGGCGACCGGCCACACUGGGACUGAGACACGGCCCAGACUCCUACGGGAGGCAGCAGUGGGGAAUAUUGCACAAUGGGCGAAAGCCUGAUGCAGCGACGCCGCGUGAGGGAUGACGGCCUUCGGGUUGUAAACCUCUUUCAGCAGGGAAGAAGCGAAAGUGACGGUACCUGCAGAAGAAGCGCCGGCUAACUACGUGCCAGCAGCCGCGGUAAUACGUAGGGCGCAAGCGUUGUCCGGAAUUAUUGGGCGUAAAGAGCUCGUAGGCGGCUUGUCGCGUCGGAUGUGAAAGCCCGGGGCUUAACCCCGGGUCUGCAUUCGAUACGGGCAGGCUAGAGUGUGGUAGGGGAGAUCGGAAUUCCUGGUGUAGCGGUGAAAUGCGCAGAUAUCAGGAGGAACACCGGUGGCGAAGGCGGAUCUCUGGGCCAUUACUGACGCUGAGGAGCGAAAGCGUGGGGAGCGAACAGGAUUAGAUACCCUGGUAGUCCACGCCGUAAACGUUGGGAACUAGGUGUUGGCGACAUUCCACGUCGUCGGUGCCGCAGCUAACGCAUUAAGUUCCCCGCCUGGG
rnacentral:rRNA from 1 species